GAGUUUUACCCGAACCCCACUGGUCAACACCAUCUCAACUCAACCUACCUCUCCAUCCUCACAGUGGAUGAUGUUUGAUACCGGAGCCUUGGACCAUGUGAAUCCUGACCGUGGAUCUCUCCAUUCCUUCUCGGAGUAUGGCGGACCAGAUGAGAUUGUUCUCGUAAACGGUACAGUCUGAACAUACAUCAACCACGAUCUUGUUGCUAUCUACUAGCAAAAAGUUAGCUGCUAUUAUGUGACAUCAACCGUUUCACUUCUACGAAAUUUUGGGCUUUCACUUUUACAUUGUUUGGUUUAUACAACAUUUGAGUUCCAAGGGGGUUUGGGUUACUUUCUUGUCUCUUGCAUGUUUAUAUAUUACUACUAUAGUGUUUCACCACUUUAUGUUCUAGGUAGUUUACUAGUACUAUUAUUU
rnacentral:lncRNA from 1 species